rnacentral:piRNA from 1 species
UACUAAACGCAGAACUAAAGGUGACCUC